UUUAAAGGGUAACACCGGCUACGGAUGGCCAUGCGGCGCAUUAGCUAGUUGGCGGGGUAACGGCCCACCAAGGCGACGAUGCGUAGGGGUUCUGAGAGAAAGGUCCCCCACACUGGUACUGAGACACGACCCAGACUCCUACGGGAGGCAGCAGUGAGGAAUAUUGGUCAAUGGGCGCGAGCCUGAACCAGCCAAGUCGCGUGAGGAAAGACGGUCCUAUGGAUUGUAAACCUCUUUUGUCGGGGAGCAAAAGACGUCACGUGUGGCGUUCCGAGAGUACCCGAAGAAAAAGCAUCGGCUAACUCCGUGCCAGCAGCCGCGGUAAUACGGAGGAUGCGAGCGUUAUCCGGAUUUAUUGGGUUUAAAGGGUGCGCAGGCGGAAGAUCAAGUCAGCGGUAAAAUUGAGGGGCUCAACCUCUUCGAGCCGUUGAAACUGGUUUUCUUGAGUGAGCGAGAAGUAUGCGGAAUGCGUGGUGUAGCGGUGAAAUGCAUAGAUAUCACGCAGAACUCCGAUUGCGAAGGCAGCAUACCGGCGCUCAACUGACGCUCAUGCACGAAAGUGUGGGUAUCGAACAGGAUUAGAUACCCUGGUAGUCCACACAGUAAACGAUGAA
rnacentral:rRNA from 1 species